rnacentral:rRNA from 1 species
AGUGAACGCUGGCGGUAGGCCUAACACAUGCAAGUCGAACGGCAGCACAGUAAGAGCUUGCUCUUACGGGUGGCGAGUGGCGGACGGGUGAGGAAUACAUCGGAAUCUACUUUUUCGUGGGGGAUAACGUAGGGAAACUUACGCUAAUACCGCAUACGACCUACGGGUGAAAGCAGGGGAUCUUCGGACCUUGCGCGAUUGAAUGAGCCGAUGUCGGAUUAGCUAGUUGGCGGGGUAAAGGCCCACCAAGGCGACGAUCCGUAGCUGGUCUGAGAGGAUGGACCGGCCCACCGGGAAUGGAGAACGGGUCCGACCCCCUAGGGGGGGCAGGAGUGGGGAAUUUUGGAAAAGGGGGGAAAGCCUGACCCAGCCAUACCGGGGGGGGGAAGAAGGCUUUGGGGUUGUAAAGCCCUUUUGUUGGGAAAAAAAAGGAGCAGGUUAAUACCCCGUUUUUCUGACGGUACCCAAAGAAGAAGCACCGGCUAACUUCGG